rnacentral:rRNA from 1 species
UAAGACAGAGGGGGCAAGCGUUGCUCGGAAUUACUGGGCGUAAAGGGCGCGUAGGCGGGAUGGCAAGUCGGUCGUGAAAUCCCUCGGCUCAACUGAGGAUCGUCGAUCGAUACUGCCGUUCUUGAGGAUUGCAGAGGAGACUGGAAUUCCCGGUGUAGCGGUGAAAUGUGUAGAGAUCGGGAGGAACACCGGUGGCGAAGGCGGGUCUCUGGGCAAUUCCUGACGCUGAGGCGCGAAAGCGUGGGGAGCAAACAGGAUUAGAUACCCUGGUAGUCCACGCCGUAAACGAUGGGUACUAGGUGCCUGGGGGAGCGACCCUCUGGGUGCCGGCGCUAACGCAGGAAGUACCCCGCCUGGGGAGUACGACCGCAAGGUUG